rnacentral:pre_miRNA from 1 species
GCACUACUCCCUCCGUCCGAAAAUACUUGUCAUCAAAAUGGACAAAAAUGGAUAUAUCUAUAACUAAAAUACAUCUAGAUACAUCCCCUUUUAUUUAUUUUGAUGACAAGUAUUUCCGGACGGAGGGAGUACUUG